rnacentral:siRNA from 1 species
UGGUUUCAGGAAAUGAGCACUA